UGCAAUUCGAUGGUAUUGGCCUCUGGGAGCUAUCCCAGAGUGCUCCAAUGUGACCACUCUGGACAGCAUUUUCAACUCCAAUGCACUAGCCAGGUAUACAGGAAAAGCCCCAGGAACUUUUGAAUUUCAUUUCCUGUUUGGUCAGUGUGGCGAGCUCAGCAGCACAGGUGACCAUGAAGUCCCAGAAUCA